AAGUGCUCGCUAUCUCACCCUUACAGAGUUCUCAUCCUAAUCUAAACAGUACAAUAGAAGUGAUAUCCGGAUCUGCUCACAGGCGUAGUUCAGUAAUCGUCCGGUAGGCGCUCCUUCCAUGUAGCGGUUCUCUCCGAUCCAUGAUCCAUGAUCCAUACUCUGCGCUCUGCGUUACGCUCCGUGAUCGGUGUCGUCCCUAGCUAUGGACCGAAGUGCGUGUGAUCUUUGAUCCGAUUGUCGGUAGACGUUUGACAUAACCUAUUCCGUGGCACUCUAUGACUGUCGUUGGUUCGGUGGUAUCUGUCAGAAACAACGUGCUUUUAGUGGAAUGAAAUUACUCCAGAAUUGGGAAAUGAAAUCGAUGGCAACAUAAAACGGGAACUAUCAUUCACGAUGAAAUGGGCUGAUGAGGCAUCUUUGACGUUGACCACUUGUUGGCACUGUUUCCUUCUUGGAUGUUGGUUCGGUGCAUCAAUUGACUACGAAGAUGGGUCAAGCAGGUGGAAAUGUACCCAAGCUUGAAAUCACUCGCCGUUGGAGGCGAAUUGGACCCUCUCACAACACUGGAGGUGGAUGUGGACAUUCACUGUGUGCCAGAAUAUUGUUCGGAGUUGGGACGUAAUCCCUGACGGAGGAAUGGUGGAGGCUCUCUGAUCCGACAGUCCCCGCUAGAUCAUACACUACAGGAGAGACUACCUUAAUAACGGUAUACGGUCCGGCGAAUUUUGCAGCCAGUUUAGCUGCGAAACUGUCGACAGCGGAUGAUAACGGAUUUGUGCGACGGAGAACUUUGUCACCUACAUGGAAGCGAACUUCUCUACGGCGUAGGUUGUAAUGAUGAGCCUGCUGUUCAAAAGCCCUGUACAAGCGAGCUUGCACAAACUCAUGUGCUUCCUGUAGGUGCCGGAUUUGUUCUGUACGUCAACUUGUGUUUCAGGAUAUCGAAAGCCUUCUGCUGGUCUUCUCCCCAUUUCCACCGCUGUUUCUUCUUGAGCAGCAGGGUUAGCGGAGAAACUACAUUGGAGAAAUUCUCGAUGAAUCGACGGUACCAGCUCGCAACACCCAGGAAUCGGCGUAACUCUCGGACGGUCUUGGGAGCAGGAAAUGACACUAUGGAUGCCACUUUAUCCGGAUCCGUACAGAUGCCUUCGGAAGUGACGACAUGUCCCAGGUACUUCAGAGACUUCCGGACAAACUCACAUUUGUCGGGAUUGAGACGUAAGUUGGCUUCCCUUAGUCGUCUGAAUACUUCCCUUAAGUUCUCCAUGUGUUCUUCAAAGGUUUCCCCUAGAACGACUAUAUCGUCUAGAUAGGCAAACGCUUUGGGCUCCAUUUCGGGACCGAUUACGGUAUCCAGGAAUCUCUGGAACGUGGCUGGGCUUGCGUGUAAGCCGAAUGGCAUGACGGUGAACUGAAAUAGUCCUCUUCCCGGGACCGUGAAUGCUGUAAUAGGCCGGCUAUCCUUUUCUAACGGUAUUUGCCAGUAUCCCUGUUUCAAGUCAAUCGUCGAAAUGUAUUUGGCUCUGCGUAAUUUGUCCAAGAUUCCCGAAAUAUACGGCAACGGAUACGCAUCUUUAACGGACACUUCGUUGACUGCUCGAAAAUCGAUACAAAACCGGUAUUUACCGUCCUUCUUUUUGACUAACACAACAGGUGAACUCCACGGCGACUUAGAAGGCUCAAUAACUCCCUCAGCCAGCAUUCGAUCUACUUCCUGGUUGAAGAUUUCCUGCAUCUUCGGAUUCUGUGGCCGGUAUCGCUGUUUAAUCGGUUCUGUCCCAGGUUUGAGUUUGAUUUUGUGUUCUAUCAGUUUCGUGGUGCCGGACAACUUCUCGAACUCCUUCAUUUCUCUGGCGAGAAAAGCAUCCAACUUCUUUUUCUGUGCCUUGGUCAGUUCCAGCAAGUGUUCGCCAGUGGCGUGUACCUCCAC